rnacentral:rRNA from 1 species
AUUGAACGCUGGCGGCAGGCCUAACACAUGCAAGUCGAGCGGAUGAAGGGAGCUUGCUCCUGGAUUCAGCGGCGGACGGGUGAGUAAUGCCUAGGAAUCUGCCUGGUAGUGGGGGAUAACGUCCGGAAACGGGCGCUAAUACCGCAUACGUCCUGAGGGAGAAAGUGGGGGAUCUUCGGACCUCACGCUAUCAGAUGAGCCUAGGUCGGAUUAGCUAGUUGGUGGGGUAAAGGCCUACCAAGGCGACGAUCCGUAACUGGUCUGAGAGGAUGAUCAGUCACACUGGAACUGAGACACGGUCCAGACGCCUAAGGGAGGCAGCAGUGGGGAAUAUUGGACAAUGGGCGAAAGCCUGAUCCAGCCAUGCCGCGUGUGUGAAGAAGGUCUUCGGAUUGUAAAGCACUUUAAGUUGGGAGGAAGGGCAGUAAGUUAAUACCUUGCUGUUUUGACGUUACCAACAGAAUAAGCACCGGCUAACUUCGUG